GACGAACGCUGGCGGCGUGCUUAACACAUGCAAGUCGAACGGUAAGGCCCUACCUUUGUGGGGUGCUCGAGUGGCGAACGGGUGAGUAACACGUGAGUAACCUGCCCUUGACUUUGGGAUAACUUCAGGAAACUGGGUCUAAUACCGGAUAGGAGCGCAUGCUGCAUGGGUGGGGUAGGGUAGUUUCGGCGGUUGGGGAUGGACUCGCGGCUUAUCAGCUUGUUGGUGGGGUAAUGGCCUACCAAGGCUUUGACGGGUAGCCGGCCUGAGAGGGUGACCGGCCACAUUGGGACUGAGACACGGCCCAGACUCCUACGGGAGGCAGCAGUGGGGAAUAUUGCACAAUGGGCAGAAGCCUGAUGCAGCAACGCCGCGUGGGGGAUGACGGCCUUCGGGUUGUAAACCGCUUUCGCCAGUGACGAAGCUUGUGUGACGGUAAAGGGUAAAGAAGCACCGGCUAACUACGUG
rnacentral:rRNA from 1 species